rnacentral:rRNA from 1 species
GUACGGGGGGGGCAAGCGUUGUUCGGAAUUACUGGGCGUAAAGGGCGCGUAGGCGGUUUGUUAAGUUGGAUGUGAAAACUCUGGGGCUUAACCCAGAGCCUGCAUCCAAAACUAGCGAGCUAGAGUUCUGGAGGGGAUAGCGGAAUUCCUGGUGUAGCGGUGAAAUGCGUAGAUAUCAGGAGGAACACCGGUGGCGAAGGCGGCAUUCUGGACCGAAAGCUGACGCUGAGGCGCGAAAGCCAGGGGAGCAAACGGG